rnacentral:lncRNA from 1 species
UUGAGGGUUCUCGGGUGGACUCAAGCCGUGCUUUCUAUUGUGUAGGCCCAUCUGGACCUUUGAGCCGCUCUGUGGAAGGGCUGUCCCCGGGAGCUGUGUCUAUCAGGACGCUGUGCACCUGUGUCCGAUGUUGGGGUGACCUGUGGACAGAGGACCCACAGCACGGAUGGGGACCUUGGGGAGCUGGAACUUAGCAGAGAGCCGCUCAUUCAUCCUGCCUGCAUUCCCUCCUCCCACAGAAACUCAUCUGCGCCUUCUGGGCGCCCGGCCUCUGUGGGCCCCUUUAAGGCCUCAGCGCUCCACGGAUGCACUGCUAUCACGGCCCCCAAACCCUCAUCCCAAGAGUCAGGCUUUAUCUCCAAGGCACCAAAGGAUAGUCGGGACGAAGCUGGGCUCCUUGCCAGAACAACGCAAUGAGAGGCUUUGCUCUGAUGGGCUGGCUUCCUUGCCUACAGGAUGGAAGAUGUACACCCGGAGUGGAACAAUGGAGUAGGUUUUUUUGGCAGUGAACUUGUACUGAUCCAAUCAGUGACCUUCAUUUCAGGAAUUCAGGAAUCUCUGGAAGUGCGAGGAUCUGCCCCAUUGUCAGUGAGUGUUAGGCCCUCUUUGUGAAGGUGUAAGGGCCCAUAGACAUUUUGUGAAUGCUUAUGAAAAAGGCACCUGAAUCCUUCUCCGAAUUUCCUCCUACACCUCCGAGUCCUAGGCACCCACGUGGGAGUUCCCACCCCUCCCACUUGCCCAUUUUGAUGUUCACACUGGUCCCUGUUCAGUUUCAGGGACAAGCCUCAGGGGUGCGAGUGAGGAUGCUCGAUUCCUCAAAGAAUGUUUAUAUUUGAAACAGGAUCACUGGUAAAUGGGUCUGUAACCCCAAGGAACACAUCCCAGGGGGGGCACUUCAAGCAGCGUGACCAUCUGGUCCCACUUACCAUGGCUCCUUCCUCGUUAGGUGAUAAGCCCUAGAGGGCCAGGCCCUUGGCUUUGGGUCUCUUGCUGCCUAGAUUCUCCAGUCACAACUUUUAGUCUCAGUUUUACCUGUCUGUUCCCAAUGAAGGACACUCCUUAAGUGUGCUGUUCCUCAAAUUUCACUUCUUUGCGUACAAGCUUCAUGAGUUUUGCCAUAUGUACAUAGGAACAGGCUACUACUAACUUAAUAUUUCUAUUUACAUAAACUCACAUGAGUUUACUUAAAAGGAAACUUACGUCACUAAUGUAAAUAGAAGGCCAAGAUUGUGUUCUAUAAAUAAGCUUUACCAGGAAAUAUAACUACAAUGGGAGUAAUAUUAUAUACCAGCUAGAUACCGUUGCCUAGGAAGGCUCUUAACCUGAGAUCUGCUCCUUUUUUUGUUGAAAAUGACAGGUGUUAGAACACUGUUAAAGACAUCCUAGCACAGUCCUGAGCCUUUAUCCUAAAGGAGGAUAGAAAAGGAGCCACUCUCUGAUUCAAUGCUAUUUAAACUGGUGCCCUCCCCACCAUCCAAAGUCAAUGGGGGGUC